UACGUAGGGGGCAAGCGUUGUCCGGAAUUAUUGGGCGUAAAGAGCUCGUAGGCGGUUUGUUGCGUCGGCUGUGAAAUCCCGAGGCUCAACCUCGGGUCUGCAGUCGAUACGAGCAAACUAGAGUGUUGCAGGGGAGACUGGAAUUCCUGGUGUAGCGGUGAAAUGCGCAGAUAUCAGGAGGAACACCGGUGGCGAAGGCGGGUCUCUGGGCGA
rnacentral:rRNA from 1 species